CGCGGGGUGGAGUAGCUCAUCGGGCUCAUAACCCGAAGGUCGUCAGUUCAAAUCUGGCCCCCGCAACCA
rnacentral:tRNA from 1 species